rfam:Chelonia mydas contig81682, whole genome shotgun sequence.
UGUAGCGUGGCCUACUGGAUAGAGCACUGGGCUAGGGCUCAGAAUACCUGGGUUCUAUUCCCAGCUCUGCUA